CCUCUGCCUUAGCAAGUGGCGUGCAAAAGUUCGGCCGGGCUCCUCAAGAGAUGGAGUUUGCAAGGGUCGAUCUAGCACCCUUGCUGCUGGCUACAAGACAAACGUUCAUUCUCAGCUUUGAGAUUCCUAGUUGCAAUGGGCAGCAUAGCUAGGUUCGUCCCCUGCACCGAUCUGGCAGACAAAACAGGAAAAGGUGGCAGAGAGAAACAGUCCCGUUGCCAAGGAAAAUGGUCCAGACCACAAGAUUCCACAGUCUCCCCUGCAGGCCAAACAAAAUUUCAGAGCACUAUUCGAAAUUGAGCUCCCGUAAAUAGUGGAAUAAUAUCCAAAGAACACCCUCAUACCCUAGAAGCAGCUCUGAGCAACUAAAACCUCUGGCUUCUGAUAAAGAUACAUUGCUAUAUAUGGAAGGAGGCAGACAAAAACAGAUGAAAAGCAGCACUGACAUCCCAUGAAGCAGGAGUGCUGAAGAAUUUAGAAAAGAGGAGGAGAGAGCACGCCCUCUCCUGGCCAAAAAAAGUCAAGGCUUUUUUUCCCAACCUAUUACAGUAUUUCUGUGUUUGUUUUUAAUACCUGGGCUACUAAUCCAGGAGCAGAAAGGAGGAGAUACUUGUCUCUUCCUUCUGUCCUUUUCUUAAUAAAACUCUGCUCUCUGAACUCUCA